AUUGAACGCUGGCGGCAUGCUUUACACAUGCAAGUCGAACGGUAACAGGGUGCUUGCACCGCUGACGAGUGGCGAACGGGUGAGUAAUGCGUCGGAACGUGUCGAGUAGUGGGGGAUAACGCGGCGAAAGUUGUGCUAAUACCGCAUACGUACUGAGGUAGAAAGUGGGGGACCUUCGGGCCUCACGCUAUUCGAGCGGCCGACGUCUGAUUAGCUAGUAGGUGAGGUAAAGGCUCACCUAGGCGACGAUCAGUAGCGGGUCUGAGAGGAUGAUCCGCCACACUGGGACUGAGACACGGCCCAGACUCCUACGGGAGGCAGCAGUGGGGAAUUUUGGACAAUGGGCGAAAGCCUGAUCCAGCCAUGCCGCGUGUCUGAAGAAGGCCUUCGGGUUGUAAAGGACUUUUGUCAGGGAGGAAAUCCCUAGUGCUAAUAACACUGGGGGAUGACAGUACCUGAAGAAUAAGCACCGGCUAACUACGUGCCAGCAGCCGCGGUAA
rnacentral:rRNA from 1 species